rnacentral:tRNA from 1 species
UGGGUUGUAGCUUACUGGUAGAGCACUUGCCUCGCACAUGUGAGACACUGAGUUCAAUUCUUAGCACUCCAU